rfam:Schistosoma mattheei strain Denwood, Zambia genome assembly, scaffold: SMTD_scaffold0003721
AGUCUUCUGAAUCCUUGCCGAGGUUUCGUCAGAUGCCAGACCAUCAGAACUGGUUAGACUCCUAAGAUAAGUGGAGCA